rnacentral:rRNA from 1 species
AACGAACGCUGGCGGCAUGCCUAACACAUGCAAGCCGAACGAAGGCUUCGGCCUUAGUGGCGCACGGGUGAGUAACGCGUGGGAAACUGCCUAUUGGUGGGGAAUAACGACGGGAAACUGUCGCUAAUACCGCAUAAGCCCUUCGGGGGAAAGAUUUAUCGCCGAUAGAUGUGCCCGCGUCCGAUUAGCUAGUUGGUGAGGUAAUGGCUCACCAAGGCGACGAUCGGUAGCUGGUCUGAGAGGAUGAUCAGCCACACUGGGACUGAGACACGGCCCAGACUCCUACGGGAGGCAGCAGUGGGGAAUAUUGGACAAUGGGCGAAAGCCUGAUCCAGCAAUGCCGCGUGAGUGAUGAAGACCUUAGGGUUGUAAAGCUCUUUCGGGUGGGACGAUGAUGACGGUACCACCAGAAGAAGCCCCGGCUAACUUCGUGCCAGCCGCCGCGGUAA